rnacentral:rRNA from 1 species
CCUACGGGAGGCAGCAGUCGAGAAUCAUUCACAAUGGGGGAAACCCUGAUGGUGCGACGCCGCGUGGGGGAAUGAAGAUCUUCGGAUUGUAAACUCCUGUCAUGUGGGAGCAAAUUAAAAAGAUAGUACCACAAGAGGAAGAGACGGAUAACUCUGUGCCAGCAGCCGCGGUAAUACAGAGGUCUCAAGCGUUGUUCGGAAUCACUGGGCGUAAAGCGUGCGUAGGCUGUUUCGUAAGUCGUGUGUGAAAGGCGCGGGCUCAACCCGCGGACGGCACAUGAUACUGGGAGACUAGAGUAAUGGAGGGGGAACCGGAAUUCUCGGUGUAGCAGUGAAAUGCGUAGAUAUCGAGAGGAACACUCGUGGCGAAGGCAGGUUCCUAGACAUUAACUGACGCUGAGGCACGAAGGCCAGGGGAGCGAAAGGGAUUAGAUACCCGAGUAGUC